rnacentral:rRNA from 1 species
UACGUAGGGUGCGAGCGUUAAUCGGAAUUACUGGGCGUAAAGCGUGCGCAGGCGGUUCGUUGUGUCGGCGGUGAAAGCCCCGGGCUUAACCUGGGAAUGGCCGUUGAAACUGGCGAACUGGAGUGCGGCAGAGGGGGAUGGAAUUCCGCGUGUAGCAGUGAAAUGCGCAGAUAUCAGGAGGAACACCGGUGGCGAAGGCGGAUCUCUGGGCCGAUACUGACGCUGAGGAGCGAAAAGCGUGGGGGAGCGAACAGG